ensembl:snoRNA
GUUGAGGUCUAUCCCGAUGGGGCUUUGCAUAUAGCCUGCACAUCGUUGGAAACGCCUCAUAGAGUAACUCUGUGGUGACCUUACUCACAGGACUAUUGUUAGAUCUGUGGAAAGGAAUGGCAAGACAGCU